rnacentral:misc_RNA from 1 species
AUCUUAUGUGAUCAAGUGGAAGAAAGCUGCACACAUGGUUAGCAGUGAUGUCCAUACAAACACUGCAGAAGAAUUGGAAAAGCAACAAGAAGAGAUUGUAGAAAAUGAUGAGACCAUGUCCAUCGAACAAUUAGAAGAGUACAAUGUCCCUCACAGUUAUGUGGAUGAUGGAUGUUGGUUUAUUUUUACAGAUGAAAAUAUGGAUCUUGUUCGAAAUGCUUUUCCAGAUGCAGUUGACAGAUUUUUACAGGAGAAAGAACUGAAUGAAUCAAAAAGAAGGUGUUCAAGCUUAACAUCUGAAGGGCGCAAUCGAAAGUCAGAAUCAGUGAAGUCAAGGGCUGUUCAACUGAAUAUAACUGAAUUUUACCGUUCCACCAAAGUACAAGUUCAUGCCACUGGAGAAGAUGAUGUAGCUAAUAAUUCUGGAAAUCAAGACAGUGUAGGAUCAAAAUUAAAGAGGAAGGUCUCGAGUUCUAACUAUCCAAAGUCUGUGAGACGCCGCCUUUUGUUCAAGUAGGACAUUUGGGGAAGAGUAAUAGUUAUUUUUUGUGUAUAAGCUUAAGAGUAACUUGUAAGUAAAUAUUAAUGAACUUUAGAGG